UAUUAUGCAACGUUUCACUCU
rnacentral:miRNA from 2 species